AACGAACGCUGGCGGCAGGCUUAACACAUGCAAGUCGAGCGCCCCGCAAGGGGAGCGGCAGACGGGUGAGUAACGCGUGGGAACGUACCUUUUGGUUCGGAACAACUCCGGGAAACUGGAGCUAAUACCGGAUAAGCCCUAACGGGGAAAGAUUUAUCGCCGAAAGAUCGGCCCGCGUCUGAUUAGCUAGUUGGUGAGGUAACGGCUCACCAAGGCGACGAUCAGUAGCUGGUCUGAGAGGAUGAACAGCCACACUGGGACUGAGACACGGCCCAGACUCCUACGGGAGGCAGCAGUGGGGAAUAUUGGACAAUGGGCGCAAGCCUGAUCCAGCCAUGCCGCGUGAGUGAUGAAGGCCUUAGGGUUGUAAAGCUCUUUUGUCCGGGAAGAUAAUGACUGUACCGGAAGAAUAAGCCCCGGCUAACUUCGUG
rnacentral:rRNA from 1 species